rnacentral:rRNA from 1 species
UACGGGGGGGGCAAGCGUUGUUCGGAAUUACUGGGCGUAAAGGGCUCGUAGGUGGCCAACUAAGUCAGACGUGAAAUCCCUCAGCUUAACUGGGGAACUGCGUCUGAUACUGGAUGGCUUGAGUUUGGGAGAGGGAUGCGGAAUUCCGGGUGUAGCGGUGAAAUGCGUAGAUAUCCGGAGGAACACCGGUGGCGAAGGCGGCUUCCUGGACCGACACUGACGCUGAGGCGCGAAAGCUAGGGGAGCAAACGGG